UACGUAGGUGGCAAGCGUUGUCCGGAUUUACUGGGCGUAAAGAGCGCGCAGGCGGUCGGCCAAGUCGAGUGUGAAAGCCCCCGGCUCAACUGGGGAGGGUCAUUCGAUACUGGUCGACUCGAAGGCAGGAGAGGGAAGCGGAAUUCCCGGUGUAGUGGUGAAAUGCGUAGAUAUCGGGAGGAACACCAGUGGCGAAGGCGACUUCCUGGCUGUUCUUGACGCUGAGGCGCGAAAGCUAGGGGAGCGAACAGG
rnacentral:rRNA from 1 species